AGAACGAACGCUGGCGGCAUGCCUAAUACAUGCAAGUCGAACGAACACUUCGGUGUUAGUGGCGCACGGGUGCGUAACGCGUGGGAAUCUGCCCUUGGGUUCGGAAUAACAGUUGGAAACGACUGCUAAUACCGGAUGAUAUCGAAAGAUCAAAGAUUUAUCGCCCAGGGAUGAGCCCGCGUAGGAUUAGCUAGUUGGUGAGGUAAAGGCUCACCAAGGCGACGAUCCUUAGCUGGUCUGAGAGGAUGAUCAGCCACACUGGGACUGAGACGACCGGCCCAGACCU
rnacentral:rRNA from 1 species